rnacentral:misc_RNA from 1 species
GGAGCCCAGCACGCCCUGGGCGACUCGUCUUUUCCCUUUACUCUUUUCCGGCCGGCGGGAGCGCCACCACCGGCCCAUCAUGGCGGGCAAAGACUUCGAUACGAGCUUGUUUCUUAAGUUUCUCUUUUCGGUCAUCUUUCUGUUCCUCUGCUGCUUUUCGUUGAUGCUGUACAUUGACAAGGUGGUGGCCCUCUUGCUCGUCUUCAUGCUGCGCUUCCUGGUACUGCCGCGCAACAUUCGGCUGAGCUUCUCCGGACUUCAUAUUGCACCCCUGCAAGCCCGCGUGCUGUUCCGCGGGUUCAGCCUGCAGACGGAGAACAUCUCGCUUCGCAUCGUUGACGGCUACUUCACCUUUGCCUUCUGGGGCUUCUGGUUUCGCCAUCCGCGGUGGGCUCGGCUACGUGAGUACAUGAUAGGCGAGGCGCUUAUCGGCACUCGCUGCCGCGUGCGGCACAACCUGCACUACGUCAAGGGCACGAUCGUUGCCGUCGACGCGGAGAACAAGAAGGUAUCGGUGCAGUUUGAUGAGCACAACACGAAUGGAAGCAGCCUGGAUGAAGACGAGGAUGUGGCGGCGGGGGAGGAUCGUGGCGCCGCCGAGCCCUCACCGAAUUUGGUUGGCAGUGCGCCAGGUAACCUGCGGCACAACUCCGCCGCAGGUGAGUCCUCGUCGUCUAUGAAUUCGGUGGAGUCUCAGAACGUGCGUGGCCGUGGCACCGCCACCUCCGCGCCGUUGGGGCCGCGGCGCUCGCGGUGGAAAGAGUUCAGCUUUUCACCGAUGAUAGUACCCCUUCUCGGGCAACACAGUUGUAACGAGGCGCGCAUGCAUCCUGAGGGUCUGGGCGAUGAGGUGGUGAAGGCGGUCGAUGUCAAAGACGUGUACAUCCGCAGCCGGGCCGGCUUGCUGCAGCUGCACUUGAAUGGUGUCCGACUUUGUGUAUAUAACGCCACGGGCAAGUACCUUGACCUGGCUAGGGCAGCUACCGCCGGCGAGCGUGCCUUCGAGAACCGCACCCGCGAGGCUCGCAAGACGAACAACGAGAGCAGCGCCGAGGCGGAACGGAGAGACAACGUGAGCUCGGCGGGCCCGCGGAAUUUGCAGGGCGCGACAAGAAACGGACUGUCGGGCCUGCUGCAGGCGAUCGGCAAGUACGUGCUCUCCUACAAGGAAGCCGAGCUCGAGGCGCAAGGGCGAGACGACGCGCAGGAGUCCUUCGAGCUACGAGCGGCGCGGAAGCUUCAGGAGCACAACAUCCUCACGACCAGUUUUGCGCAGAAGUUCUUCAACUUCAUCGGGUGCGUCGAGAUUGAGAUUUGCGCCGCGCAGCUCGACAUUGGCAGCGCCGCCUCGUCGCACCCGUACUUUCUGCACUUCACCUUUCAGCAAGGCGAGGGACGUGUCUUCUUGACGAAGGACAGCUGCCCCGCCCUCGAUCUUUACCGCACCGUUGUGGAGCUGACGUUGCGUGAGGUGGACAUACGGAUGGCGCAGAUGGAUAGCAAGCUGAGCAAGACGCAGGUGAUGCGGAAUGCGACGCUGCUGGAGCGGGCGCGUCUGCUGGUGUCAGGUGUCGCAGUGCCGUACGACCACAUGCCCCUUGAAACGACCGCCUCGUCCGAGCUGAUUGACGACUACGGCAUCUUCAUGGACGGCAAGAACAAGGGCACGGUGCACCUCGUCUUCUACAAGGAUGCCCCGAACGUGUACGCCGGGGAGGCAGUGAGCCGUGGCGCGCUGCCGACCACCGGGGUCGAGGUGCUGAUCGAUGCCCCGGUGGUGCGCUACGGCCCCUGGCUGGAGUACUGCCGCUCACAGCUGUGGCAGUAUUUUCUACCACCCAACUACCUCCCCUUGCAAGAGCUGCAGUUUGAGGUGGGCAAGCCGCGUCCGAACGCCGGGUUCGAGCUGCUCGUCAUGUUCCUGCGCGCGACGACUGUCGAAAUCCCGUUUAAGCGGCGCAGCAUCGUGCCAUCGCCACCGUUCGGCAUUCGUGACUCGAAGCGCAAGGGCAUGAUAGUGGCGACGGUAGGCGAGGGUACGCAGUACAUCCAACCAGCCUUCUUUCUCCUUCCGAAGGAGGAGAAGCGGAUCUUUCAAGGUCUCUUCAUCGCCAAGGGCGUCACUGUCUGGACGAACUGCGUGCUGGAGCGGGAGACCGUGUUGUGCAACGCCGAGUCGCUGCAGUUCUUCCUCGACCGCCAGGAUGACCGACUCUGGAACGGGCGCAAGCUGUGGAACAUCCUGGCGAAACUGUCGGGGGCGAAGCUGUACUGGUACAUGGUGUACGUCGACUACUUUCUCGACCUAAUCAACGACUGGCAGUUCUCGGCGUGCAUGUACCACGGCGUGCCGCUCACAACGGAGAUGUACAACACUGUGAAUCGUGUCGUGCGGGACUGCAUUCCCAACGUGAAGCGCUUCGAGGUCUUUCUAGAGUCUCUGGCCACCGUCUACCUCAACGUUAACACGCGCAACGUGGUCUACGCGGACGACCCGAACGACUUCGCCCACAACGUCAUGGCGAUUCUGACAAUGCAGUCCGGGUGCUUCAACAUCGUGCUCCCGAGCGACCAGUACCAGCUGAGUUUCGAGAACGAGGCGGCACGGCCGAUGGAGGCCUCGGCGCGUGAGGUGAAGGCGUACCUGAGCUUGCCAGCCAGCCACCCUCUCUACGAUCAGGUGAGCAGCGAAACUCCAUGGGCGUACGCGGAGUCGUUCCGCAUGCAAGGACUCUUCACGAUGCUGGUGCCCAACCAGUCGAUUCCGCUGCCGCGCAACAACUUCGACACGACCACUGGCCGCACGCGCUACCACAACUUCUUCAACCUCGACCUCGAGCUGAUGAACCUGCGUGGCACCCUCAUGGGCACCCACAUCAAGGCCCUCUUGAACUGCUUCGAGAACACCUUCCUCGACAACACGUUUACAGUCGCGCCGGAUGAACUGUUUUGGCUUCUGGCGAAGCUGCAGUCGCACGCCACGACGGGGAAGAACAAGCGGAAGGCGUUUAAGGAGUUCCUGGAGCGGAGCCAGCCGGCUGCCAACGACGUGGAGGUUUGCGUGACGGUGCGGCUCGUCGACGUCAGCGCCACAGCCACGACGAGCUCGAUGCCCUUGGCACCGCAGGUCAACCUCUCCACCGGGCUUAUCACCUUCACGUAUGUAAAGCAGUUUUCCGUGACGGACACCGGCGUCUCGCUCACCCCGCUGACGGUGCGCUUCCCCGAUCGCCGCGGCAACUUCCCGCGAAACUCCAAAUCGCACAUCGUGAUCGGCGCCAUCACGGUGGGGCUCACGAAGCACUUUGGGCGCAUGCCACUGAAGCCGAAGGUGCACGAGGCGAUGGAGGUCCACGUCGGCGGCGUGUCGCUUGAGGUGGCGGCCGAGCAGCUUGUGAUGCUGGUGGAGGUAGCGCAGACGGUGGCGCGGCACUUCGCGAUAGAGGAUGCGAUGAUGGAGGCCGAGGUUGCCGAGGCGCUGACGACAGCGGAGCUGUCGGCCGAAAAGGUGAUCCGCUGCAGCCCGCUGCGCAACACCACGGGCGUGUUCAAGAAGGGCAUGCGACGCCGGCACGUUGGGCAGAGCAGUGUGCCAAGCAUCUGCCGAUCCGCUGCGGUGGGAGAGGAAGUGGCUAUGAGUACUGGUAGCCUUUUCGGUGGCCCAACGGGCGACUACGAUGGCACGCACGGCGAUGAUUACGGAAACGGCGCCGUGGAAAUGCGGGAGUGGCGCUCGGCACAGCGCACUAGAAGACUUCCGGCCUGCCACUCCUUCCCCGCGGGCAGUGAAGGCGGCGGGGACGGUGGUGCACGCGACUGGGCCGACGCCGGCAGCGCUGUCGUGGUGGAUGUCAGCGGGCAGGCGCAUGCGGAGCCUAUUUCGUUACUCACAGCCUCGGCCGUGAGGGGCGCAUGCGCCGGCGGCGCGACAGCCGCAACCGACACCAGCAUCGGCGAGGGAGACUGCAGCCUGCCCAUUCUGCAUUCCUACGAGUCGGACAGCGGGCGCUCGUCGUCUGGGAAGCACUGGCGUGGUUUUAAACGCCGUCGCCGCCUCUUCAGCGGUUUGAGCCCCGCCUCCUCGUCGGGCUCGGACGACGACUGCAGCGGCCAGCGUUGGCGCCCGUUUGCGUCGCAGGUGGCGUACGACGUUGCCCUGGAAUUCGCCAAGUUCAGGGAGGAGUGCAACAAGGCGGACGACGACUCGCGCGACUACGGACUGUUCUUCCUCUUGGUGGAUGUGGGGACAGUGGCAGGGGUGGUGCGCAUUGGCGAGGACGGCUACGCAUUUGUGGAGUUGCCGCUUGGCGUGACGGUGGCGCACUCAACGGUGAACGACGGCAACUCCAACAAACGGAUGAGCAUAGCGAUGAAAUACGUAGGGGUGCAGCUGCUGUUGAACCGCACUAGCGAGGUGGCACAGACCUACCUUCCCUCGCUGAAAGGUGACGCUUCCGUCGGCGAGUAUCUCGAAGUGCUGUCGCUGCGCACAUCGGUGUGCAUGCGGCAGUACGUGGCAUAUCCCUUCGACAACAGCCUGGCGAACCAUCGUCGUCGGCAGCAGCAGUUCGUGGAGGAGAACGACUACGAACACCUCAUCAGCUUUCCCUUCAACAAGACUUCGACGCAGUGCCCGACGACACCAGCGCGGGCAUCCGGUCCGGAGUCGACCGCGAUGGCCCCAGAAACUCCAAGAGGCGAGGAAGAACCGCCUUGGACAAGUCGAGCACAGAGCUGUGCUACGCCCGUGGCAGAGACAGCUACGCUGCCGUGCUCGCCGCAGCCAAAUGCCACGAGUCCACCGUCCACCACGAAUGGCUUCAACUCGCUGUUGCAUCAGGCGAGCGCGGCGUCGUCAGCACCAAUAGCGGCUCGCGACGGGAUGUCGCCCAAGUUGCCUUUAACCUUGGCUCGUGGUGACGAUGGUGAUGCGGCGGCCAUGCCGCCCCUCCCGCGCGCUUUCACCAGCAGCACCGAUGAGCUGUCACUGCCGUCGUCGCCAAACUCGCAGAACACCAUGGUCCAUACGCACCUAGCCUGUGAGGCAGAUGAUGCGUCGCGUCUGCAGAGCACGCUCCCGUCCAUCUCCACCACCUUCCAGGCGGUCGACAAGGAUAACCAGAUGAGCCAUCGCUUCGCCACGUGCGUUUCGGUGUCGUCGCCGAUGUUCUCCUCGGGGGUGAGCAGCCCCGACAUCGACUCGUUCUUCGACGCGUCUUCGUCUGGCUCGUUGUCUCAGCAGCGUGCCAUGAACAGAGCCUUCGCCGUCGACGGGGACAUGGCGAGUGCCUCUGAAGAGAAACGCGCCGCGCACAGGAAGAACAGCAGUGACGGCGGCAUCGGCACUGGCAACUCCACUGAAGCGAUCGCACGGCCGGGCAACAACGACGGUGGGGCUUGCGGAAGAUGUGAAGCCCGCACAAGCCCCAGCGGCGGCGGGGCUGACAGCAGCCCAGCGGCGUCGUCGUCAUGUAUGACCGCCCCACAUUUCUUCUACCGCACAUUCGACAAGGCGGAGAGCGACGAACAAGGCACCUGCGCCGUUGACUACUGGCCAUCGCAGCGGCCGAGCAACGCCCAUAGGGUGCGGGAUCACACUCGAUUUCACGCACGGUUGCCUAUUGUGGGGUUUUGCCUCAACGCCAACCGUGAGAGCCGCGCGCCGCCCUUCUUCUCUUACUCGAAGCGGCAGAUGCUGCAACGCGAGGAGGACCUCUUCGCGUGGGCCCGCUGCAUUGCCGACAACCGCGAGCGCUCGCAGAACAACUCUACGUCGCGCCAUCUGCACAUUGCAUUCCUCGAUCCGCUCACCCUACUGGUGACGCCGGAGGCGGCAGUUCUGGCUAGCGCUGCCACGCAACUCGCGCUACGAGCUCACCACUCUCUGCGCAGCCGUCGCUCCGACUUGCCGCGCGACCUGCCCACGCUGGAGAGUCCGGGGGCCGCUCCCAGCAGGGCUGCGCAGCCGCUGCUGCUGCGACCACACGCUAAGAAGAGCAAGGCACGAACACAGCAGCAGCGCUGGCUGUGGGAGAGCAACAUUGUGAGUGUCGCGGUGCCCACGGUUGAGGUGAAACUGCUCACGCGUCUGCCCGUGCCGGUGGAAAACCUGCCGAGCGAACCGAGCGUGACGGACGGAGUUUACACGUCCACAGUAGUGGUGCGCAACCUCCGCGUGCUUAUGGCGCAGAACCGACCACCCACCGGGGAGGACACGGAGGCCAAGGCAUCGCAGCGGAUGUCGGUGUCUGUGAAGGUGGACACGGCUGCUGCCAUUACGCAGAUCGAGUGGGAACCGAUGGGGCGAGAGGGCAACCUCGCCGUGAAGGUGCCUGGUUUCUGGUACAAUGCCGACAAGGAUACCUUGGCGGUCGUUUUCCUCACUCAAGUCGCUGGCAAGGUCAAGAGGGACCUGUGGCGCGGCGCUGACGGUGGCGCGUCGAACAUCACGGUCUCUGACGUGGCUGCGUACGUGACGCGCGACUUUGCCGACUACGUGCACGGGCUGAUGUACCUCGUGCAGGACGUGACAGCCGAUGUUCGGCGGCGCACGAGGGUCAAUGAGCGCUUUUUCUUCCCCACGUCGCAGUCGACGACGGCCCUGAACUUGGACCCGUCCACCGUGCCACGAACGGCCUCGGUGCCGGCAGCGCCCGCCGCCUCUGGCGUGUUCGGCCGUGCCGCCGGUUUUGCAUUGCGCGAAGCACCUCACACGCGAAAGGGACGGGUGGUGCAGGGCAAAGGCUUCGUGGGGCAUCUGGCGGUGACGCUCAUCGACACGGUGCGGUCGGGGCAGCGCAUUGCCGUGAACCAAACGAAGAUGAGCCGCCUUGACAUCCGCAGGCCCUUCUGCAACUUCGUGGUCGUGACGCCGAACCUCCUGCGGGACCGUAACGUGCACGUCCAGGGCUUUGGCGAGGUCGAUGAGAUGAGCGCGAGGGUCUUUCCCUCGUUGCUGCACAUUUUGCACCCGCGGGCAGCAAGGCGCAGCCUGGGCAUCCUGGCUACCGCGGCUGGCUCACCCAAGUCAAUCAACUCCCGUACGCCGUCUUUUCAGCCGAACGUAGUCACCACCGCCAGCACGAUGAUGUUUGCGCAGUCCUCCGCGGACACGAGCGCUACCGUCCACUCUUCCGGUCAUAUCGGCGCCGCGGGCCCACCGAGUCGGCCACUGGCGUUCAUCUACGACGGCACGUUCACUGUCCACCAACUCGAUCUGCGCGCGCAGCAGUCAGACACGAACUACAUUCAACUGACGGGGAAAGACCUGACUGGGUGUGCCGAGUCACGCGCCGAGGGCGUGGCGUCGCGCGAGUGUGUCCAGACGGAGGCGCUCACGGAAUCAAUAUCAGAGACGCUGAAGGAACGUCUGCGCUACAAGGCGAAAAAGGCCCGCGAGCGGGCGAAGCGCAGCCGCUACCCUGCCCCGCCUGAGACGACGGAGCAGCUACAGCUGCGCUCCACGGCGUCCUUCUUUGCGCAAGAGGUGCAAGUACACUACGUGGCCGACUGCCUCAUGGAGUCCAUCUCGCACGACUUGAAGAGUCCGCUACGCGAUCCGGCCGAUAGCCAGAGCAUGAAGACCAGCAAGGUCUUUACCGCCGCCGUCACGGACGUCGCCCUUGUCGCGCAAUUUUCGCAGCAGGUCAAUCUCAAGGGCGAUCAGGUGAACUUGCACAUGAUGGUGCACAGUGCCGUGUUUCAGUCACCACACUGCGUGCGCGCAGCCGACACGCUGCACCCGCAGGUGCACGCGCUGAUCAGCUCAUGGCGGCAGGCGCUGCAUGCGGCGAGCCGGACAGUGCGCCCUGGGUCCACUGUGGACAAGCUUGGAAGCGCCAUCAUCCUGCGUAGGGGGAGCAUGAGCAGCAGUGCAGCGGAGCGGGGAUCGGCCAAACUGCAGCAGAGUAGAGCAGUGACCUUCCAGGUACAGGCGACAAGGAUUACAGGCUUCGUGGGACUGGCUCAAGGCAUCGUGCAGAAGUUCCUGCUGCCGCAGAUAUCGUGCUUCACGAAGACGUCGUCGAACGGCCGCGCCGAUUUGAAGCUGCACCUUCACCCCUUCACCAUCACGUCCCACAACACACCCCUGGAAAACUACAGCGUUGUGCUGCCCCACGUUUACAUCCUCUACGCGCACGACACCAUCAAGAUGCUCUGCAGCGUCACCGUGGGUACCAUCGCCAUCACCAUUACGCCGCUGUUCAUCAACCACAGCCUCCUCACGUACGAGAAGCUGAUCCACGACGUGGCUGCUGUGAUUGCGUCACCGAAGAUGCACGCUGACGACGAGGAGCGACUAGCGACGGAAGCCCGCUCCCCUGUGGACGCCACCGAUGCAACGCUGCGGCGUGACCCGUCUAGGGACACAUGGAGCUCGCCCCCCACAACUCAUGUGCCCGGCGGAGGCUGGAGCAGCCGCAGCGGGCUCAGCGCAGGCUUCGGCUCUGUGUCGCCGACAGACGGUAACCCUUCGUUGGAGGGCGCGACGGCGGGAAAGGACGGCCGUCGGGAUCGGCUACAUCAUGGCAUCCAGUCGCCCAUGAGCGCCGACGAGGACGUUCGUGGUGCUGCUACGGAGGCGGCUGCCGUGCCCCGGAUUCCGAUGCGCAAGCGCCGGCGGAGCUUUCUUUUCUUGUUGCAAGGGGUGCGUCUCUCCUACCUGACUUCCAUGACGACGCUGCGCUUCACAAUCCGCAGCUUGAACGCGACGGCCGACACGACGGAGGGCGACACGCGGCACGUGCUACACUGGGUAGUGAACGCCACGAAUGCGCAGGCAGCGCUCGUCGACCGCGACGAUCAUGACCAGAUGGUAGCGACUUACAACAGCUUGUCACAGCACAGCCGGGUGGCGAGCCGAGAGACGCACGGCUCCAGCGCCCUGUACGCCACCUCCCACACGUCUUCGAGCGGACGCGCCACCGACGUCGCCAAUACCAUGAAGGCCGCGCACCCCCUCAGCGGCUUCUUGUGGGGUUCCAUCGCUCUUUCCUUCACGCUCUCCAGCGGCAAGGUGGACGACAACCGCGCCAGGGCCGCGCUGCAGGAGAGCACCUCCCUCGGCUCGUACAGCGAAGAGCUGCAGAAGGCGCUGCUGGACUCCCUCACCACCUCCACCUCCAAGUGGGAGCUUGCGGUGUUCGAGCCGCUGGUGCUGGUGCGCUUCGGACUGGAUUCGCUCAUCAAGCAGUGCGUUCGCGAAACGGAGGAGGACAUACGCGCCAUGAAGGAAGCGACCUACGAGGCAGACCUUAGUGCCAGCACGAGGCUGCGCCAGCACAAGCGCUUCCAGCGGCUGCAGGAGGAGAAGAAGCGCAUCGACCGCUUCAUAAAGCGAGCGGAAAAGGAGCGGCACCGCAAACUGCGAACCAUGACAGAGCGCGUGGUGCACGACGUGACACAGCGACGCGGCAUAUUUCCGACGGAUGCGAUCGAGGGCGAUGCCUUGCUCGAUUUCUUCCGGAUUCGACGCUCGCACAAGGUGGUCGCGUCGGUGAGCAACUUUAUGGUGGUGGUUCCUUUCGGCGAUGCUGCGUACCGCAGCGUCCUCGAGGAGAUGCCAGGAACGUUUGCGUGUGGAAAGACCGACCGGCAUAUCCACACGGCAUCGUGCCUGAGUCGGCGCCGGUUCAUUCCGUCCUUUGCGUUGAAGAUGAAGAUGAACGACGUCUCGUUUAUCUGCAGCUUCGAGGUGGUGAAACACAUCGUCCCGGUGCUGGUCGCCGACCAGCACCAUCGUCUGCGUAACGACUCCAUGUUUGUCCACGCCGGCACAACGGAUCAGGACUACACAACUUCGCUCCUUUUCCACGGCCGCUUGCUUGCCUUGAACAGUCAUCUCUACUUCUCGGACGGCUCGCCACUGAACAAGUCCGCCAAGCUGCUAGACCUGCUGCGCGACACGCCGAUUCUCGGCGGACAGGGUGUGCUUACGAGCUACGCCGCCGAGGAACACCGGCGCUCGCUGAACAGCAUCUCCGUCGUCUCCGUUGAGGCGCCGUUGUGCAUUGAGAAGAAGAACAACACGUUGCACAUCGGCGUUGUGGUGGACGUGUCGGAGCCGAAGGUGCGCAUGUCGUCGCGUAUACUCAGCAUUGUGCGUGAACUGUCGCAGGAGCAGACGGCGUUGCCGUUACAGGUGCACAUGCGCGCACGCCGUCGUGGCGAGACGCCGUCGCCGCCGCCGCGCCUUUCUCGGAACACUAGCGGGGGUGCCAGCUCGGUCGCUCGAGGAAUCAGUGGCGACUCUCCCUCCGCCAGCAUUGGGGCGGAGUUUGCGGCCGCGCAGCCAGAGCUGAAGGGGCCGCUGUCCCUGCAUCUUGACGUCACCGGCCGGCUGGAGGCGAGCGAGUUGGCCGUCUUUUGUUACUCGAAUCCAGAGAAGUGGUGUGCGGAGAGCUGCACCACAGCUGCCGGUGCCGUGGGCGGCGGCGGCGGUGCUCGGGCCUACUCAAGUCCGCGCUCGCUGCGGACCACCUCGUCGCCGGUGGCGCGUCGGUGCGUCAGCUUCGAGACCCCCUCUUCGCAGAACAACCGCAUGCGGGCGGCGAGGGAUGCGCGGGCGGUCGCCAAUGCGACCGCCAAGGGUGUCAGCGUGAACAGAAGCAACCAGAACCCUCCCCGGAGCGAGAGCGGCGACGGCAUCGACUUCUACUCGAACGAGCGGUUCCUCAUCAUGUCUGUUCCGCUGCCCGGCGUAACCUUGCGAGCUAUUAUGCGGCGUGGCAGACGAGACGCCUCUGACGACGUGGAUGUGGUUCGAGUCGAGGUUCGCGCCGGGACCAUCGAGCUGAGCCCGUCCAUGGCAGCGCUGGCACAGGAGGUGGAGAUGUGCGCUCGCACUGAUGAACAGAACCGCGUGGAGCGCAACCAGAAGAUCAUCGCGUUUGUGCAGAGCAUGGAGGCUGAGGUACCGCAGCUGCGCGUGCCACUGCACUGCCCGCUGGUGGAGGUGCUCGUUCCCAUGCCGCGAGCGUACGAGUCGGUGCUGUCUCAGAUGCGUUUGGACAGCGUUGCGUGGCUGCGGCGCACCGACCCGUCCGCGCGCACGCCGACGCCGCUCGGCGAGAGCGGCGGCAGCACCGGAGCAAAGAACCUCCUCAACAGCGCUGUGGUUGCUGUGGGGCACAACAAGUCGCGCGGAAUCGUUGCCGUGCACGUGAGCAUCAGCGACCUCCGCCUGAUCUUCAACUCGGAGCCAGUGGCCUCCACGCACUUCAUGCUGUACCUUGACCAGGGCGGCACGAUCAACUUCGUCUUCAAGUACUUCGAGCGUCCUGACCCGAACGAGCGCUUCGUCAACAAGUUCCCUGACGCGUCACUUGUCGUGACGAUGCGCAGUGUGCGGGCGGAGUGCCAGACGAAGCUGGAAGUGAAGUCGCUGGAAGUGACGCUGCCAGAGGCGGAGCUCGCCAUCAGCCGCCGCAGCGGCCACAUCGGCGUUGUGGACUCUGUCAGUGUGUACCUUCCCUUCAACGUCGAGGGCAGCGAGCCGAAUCUGACGGCUCGGCUGCAGCACAUGUCGCAGGUCUUCUUGGUCGUCAAGCUGUGGUCCAUCACGACAUCAGAGACGCUGAGGACGGCGCGGCGCCUCUUUGAGCGGCGCUCAAUCGCCAACGAGAUCUCUCCGCAGGCUGCACGCACACGAUUUGCUCGUCAGGUGGCCAAGACCACGACGGCGUUCCAGGACAAGCUGAGGAUGGUCACAGACCACCGCACACUGGUCUACCUCGGACUCUCCCGCGCGGUAUGCUUCUUUGAUCUCGGCGCUGGCAGCACGCACAGCUUCACGAUCGGUUCGGCCAACGUGGUGGCGGAGUAUGCCAAGCGCGCGAACGGAUGCACUGUGAGCCUGCUGCUCGGGCGCAUCUCGAACACGUCCAUCCGCUCAGAGGGUGUCUUGUCGGGUGGAAUGAUGAUCGGCGACGUCAUGGCCAAGGCCUUUGUGAUCCAGAACUCGGACGACACAGAGGGGUUCGUGCGGUCGCCUGAGCAGCGCACCUUCCGGGAGGCACUGCUCAUGCAGCAGGUGCACGUGAAUUUCAAGGAGCGGCAGCUGAAGGACAUCUUUGAGUGCAAGGUGGGCUCCUUCCACGCCAACUCGAUGGACGGCAUUGGCGAGGAGGAGUACACAACCACUGACAUGGAUAUCAUGUUGCAGCGCGGCACCCUUGGGGUGACACCGAGCACUGUGCCCGCCUUUCUGAGCUUCGUGCGGAACAUCAGUGCUGUCGUCGCGGAGCAGCGGUGCAUCGCGGCGACCCGGAUGAAGGAGACGACGCUGCCAUUCCCGGCCUUUCAAGGUGUCGCCGGCGACGUCAGCCCUACUGUGACAGGGCUGCAGAAGCCUAUGCCGAUCAUGUGCGAGCACAGCACUGAAAGUCGCAGCAGGUCCGGAAGUGAGUUGAGCGUGGCCACGCAAAGGGCGCGCGUCCGCAUUCCUUUUAUGGGUAACGCUAUACUGCGGGUGCCUUGCGGGCAGCUGCGUGUCGGACUGGAGAAGACAACAGUGCUGCUCGGUGCAAUCGCCUCGGGCGAGGCGGCCGUCGGGUGCGUGGUGCUGAGCUUUCCCAAGGCUCGCUUGUCGUUCGCCGAGUGCCCGUGCGAAGACUACACGGCGGCGAAGAAGGUGCUCGUGAUCGAGUCGCACAACGUGGAGGUGUACCGGCCCGGCACGCCACGCGUCGUCGUUAUGGGCUUUCAAGGCGUCAACUACUUUGAGUUCUACACGCGGCAGGUGCUCGGCUCGGCAGAGGUAGGCUUCGCGCUUACUCUGCGGCAGACGCACCCGUGGACGGGCAACCCGCGGUUUCGCGAUUUUGAGGAGAUGAUAAGCCUCAUCAAGUCCUUCACGGACAAGAAGAACGCGGCCGUCUUUCAGCACUUCGGGCGGCUGGACACCGUCACACUGAGCUCCAAUACGUCAAGCCACACACCGCGGCGUGACUCCGGCAACAGCCCGGCCACCGCCGCUGCAGGCACAGGCGUCGACUGCUCCAGGGACGCAAGCCUGACGGCUGCCGGUUCCGCCUCUACGAUCGGGCCGACCGCGACAGCGGCGGCCGGCGACAUGCGGACCCUCAAGGCGCUUCGCAGCUCUACAUUCUCUCCACAGCUGCGCUUCGGAGGAGACGUGUCUGUAAACACAGAGGUGAUUCUCAACUGGCUGGGGGUAACCGAGAAGAUGCUGCCGCACGUUGUGCACACGGCAUUGUGCGACAAGCUAGAGAAAGUGCUGUACUCCCUCUCUGACCUGGCGAGCGAGCGCGUGACACAUAGGCAGGAAGACAAGAGCAUGGUGGUGGCACCCGCCGCUUCCGGCGGUGCUGUUCCACGAGGUUUUACGGGCUCACCAUCACCGAUCUCGCCCAGCGCCUCCGAACCAAGACGUCUCGACUUGUAGAAGGCGACCUUAUUCUUGUUGCGCGCCGCUGUCUGCCCGUAUCUUAUGCAUCCGUUCACGUGCGUGCGUCGUCGUGCAGCCCCUCCCUCCCCUCCCGCUGGCGAGGCGUUGCCUGCGCUUCUUUCGAUUACGCAUCGCUGGUGCACAAAGCCGGCCAACGGGCCGCAACCGUUUCGCAUUUUCGUUUUCUUUCUUUUCAUUGUUGAGGGGCGCAUUCACCCAUCACGA